rnacentral:rRNA from 1 species
GACAGAGGCCCCAAGCGUUAGGCGGAAUCACUGGGCUUAAAGCGUGUGUAGGCGGAUCGUUAAGUGUCUUGUGAAAUCCCACGGCUCACCCGUGGAACUGCUGGGCAUACUGGCGAUCUUGGGCCAACUAGGGGCAGUCGGAACAAGCGGUGGAGCGGUGAAAUGCGUAGAUAUCGCUUGGAACGCCGAAGGUGAAAACAGGUCGCUGGGAAUGUGCCGACGCUGAGACACGAAAGCCAGGGGAGCAAACGGG